rnacentral:rRNA from 1 species
GACGAACCGUGCGAACGUUAUUCGGAAUCACUGGGCUUAAAGAGCGUGUAGGCGGCCAGGUAGGUCCGUUGUGAAAACUGGAGGCUUAACCUCCAGCUGUCGAUGGAAACCAUCUGGCUAGAGUCCGGAAGAGGAGAGUGGAAUUCCUGGUGUAGCGGUGAAAUGCGCAGAUAUCAGGAAGAACACCCGUGGCUAAGGCGGCUCUCUAGUACGGUACUGACGCUGAGACGCGAAAGCGUGGGGAGCGAACAGG